UACAGAGGGUGCGAGCGUUAAUCGGAAUUACUGGGCGUAAAGCGUGCGUAGACGGCUAUCUAAGUCGGGUGUGAAAGCCCCGGGCUCAACCUGGGAAUUGCAUUCGAGACUGAAUAGCUAGGGUACGGUAGAGGGAAGUGGAAUUUCCGGUGUAGCGGUGAAAUGCGUAGAUAUCGGAAGGAACAUCAGUGGCGAAAGCGGCUUCCUGGUCCAGCACCGACGUUCAGGCACGAAAGCGUGGGGAGCAAACAGG
rnacentral:rRNA from 1 species